rnacentral:rRNA from 1 species
UGGGGAAUUUUGGACAAUGGGGGAAACCCUGAUCCAGCCAUCCCGCGUGUGCGAUGAAGGCCUUCGGGUUGUAAAGCACUUUUGGCAGGAAAGAAACGUCAUGGGUUAAUACCCCGUGAAACUGACGGUACCUGCAGAAUAAGCACCGGCUAACUACGUGCCAGCAGCCGCGGUAAUACGUAGGGUGCAAGCGUUAAUCGGAAUUACUGGGCGUAAAGCGUGCGCAGGCGGUUCGGAAAGAAAGAUGUGAAAUCCCAGAGCUCAACUUUGGAACUGCAUUUUUAACUGCCGGGCUAGAGUGUGUGAGAGGGAGGUUGAAUGCCGCGUGUAGCAGUGAAAUGCGUAGAUAUGCGGAGGGACACCGAUGGCGGAGGCAGCCUCCUGGGAUAACACUGACGCUCAUGCACGAAAGCGUGGGGAGCAAACAGG